rnacentral:rRNA from 1 species
CAUGCAAGUCGAACGGAGAAUGAGCAUAGCUUGCUAAGCUCAUUCUUAGUGGCGGACGGGUUAGUAACACGUGAGAUACUUACCCCUUAGACAGGAAUAGCCCAUGGAAACGUGGAUUAAUGCCUGAUAGUCUCUACGGAGUAAAGGCUGCCUUCGGGUGGUGCUAAGGGAUAGGCUCGCGUCCUAUCAGCUAGUUGGUGAGGUAACUGCUCACCAAGGCAACGACGGGUAGCUGGUCUGAGAGGACGAUCAGCAACACUGGAACUGAGACACGGUCCAGACACCUACGGGUGGCAGCAGUCGAGAAUCAUUCACAAUGGGGGCAACCCUGAUGGUGCAACGCCGCGUGGAGGAUGACGGUCCUAGGAUUGUAAACUCCUGUCAUUGGGGAGUAAGACUUAUGCGUUAAGAGCGUGUAAGUUUGAUAGUACCCAAAGAGGAAGGGACGGCUAACUUCGUGCCAGCAGCCGCGGUAAUACGAAGGUCCCAAGCGUUGUUCGGAAUAACUGGGCGUAAAGCGUGUGUAGGCUGCGCGGAAAGUCAAAUGUGAAAGCCCGGGGCUCAACCUCGGAACUGCAUUCGAUACUCCCGUGCUAGAGUAAUGGAGAGGUAAGUGGAAUUCCUGGUGUAGCGGUGAAAUGCGUGGAUAUCAGGAGGAACAUCAAUGGCGAAGGCAACUUACUGGACAUUGACUGACG